rnacentral:rRNA from 1 species
UACGUAGGGGGGCGAGCGUUAUCCGGAUUCAUUGGGCGUAAAGCGCGCGUAGGCGGGUGCCUAAGCGGGACCUCUAACCUCGGGGCUCAACCCCCGAGCCGGGUCCCGGAACUGGGCGCCUCGAGUGCGGUGAGGGGAGAGUCGGAAUUCCCGGUGUAGCGGUGGAAUGCGCAGAUAUCGGGAAGAACACCGAUGGCGAAGGCAGAUCUCUGGGCCGCCACUGACGCUGAGGCGCGAAAGCU